AAAAGAAAACAAUCUUUUCUGUAGUGCAAGUCAUGAGAAGAUUACAUAGUUGUUGAAGUGGCGACCGUAGAAGAUGAAGAAAGGUUCGGAAGAGCCUUUCCAGGAUGAGGCUGGACCAAAACAGUCUGAUGUCUCCAACACACCUCUUCAUCCUUCCAUUCAGGAUUACAUUUUCAAUUUGAAUGAGGAGGAGUGGAAGGAUUUCAUCAGCAUGAUAGACUGUCAAAUGGCAAGGAACCAGUUUGUGGAGAUGUGUCAGGCUGUGCUUACAGUUGUGAGUUCCAGCACAAUGAAUGUUAUCCUGCCAGUUUUUGGGCAUAUGGAGAGAGAUUUGGAGCACUCCUCAAAUACAUGCC